UAGAUGCGAGAGUAGAGCAUAUCAAUAAGCGGAGGAAAAGAAACUAACAAGGAUUCCCCUAGUAACGGCGAGUGAAGCGGGAAGAGCUCAAAUUUGAAAUCUUAAAGGGUUUCCCUUUACGAAUUGUAGUUUAAAGAAGUGUUUUCUGUUGGAGUUUCGGUAAAAGUUCUUUGGAAUAGGACAUCAUAGAGGGUGAGAAUCCCGUAUUUGACCGUUACUUUCCAGCUGUGUGAUACACUUUCAAAGAGUCGGAUUGUUUGGGAAUGCAGUCCAAAAUGGGUGGUAAAUUUCAUCUAAAGUUAAAUAUUGGCGAGAGACCGAUAGCGAACAAGUACCGUGAGGGAAAGAUGAAAAGAACUUUGAAAAGAGAGUUAAACAGUACGUGAAAUUGUCAAAAGGGAAGCGUUUGACACCAGUGUUGUUUAGUUGAAAAUCAAUUCAAUAAUUUUUGAUUUUAAGUAGUAUUGACUUCAUCAGCUUGCUGCUUUCUUUUCAGGAAUUAUUGAAUGCACUUUUCAGUUAACAAGUCAACAUCAAUUUCUUUUGUUGUAAAAGGGUAAGAGGAAGGUGGCUUACGCUUCGGCUCAAGUGUUUAUAGCCUUUUACCUCUGCAAUCGGAGAGAUUGAGGUCUGCAGCGUAGACUCUUCGGGGUUAGAUACAUUUAUGCUAAGCUAUAGCCUUGUAUAGACAACUUGUUGACUAUGCUCAGUCAUGUAGCUUACUCGCUAGAUGCUAUUUUACCUACGCUUAGGAUGUUGACACACGCGCGUGCUCG
rnacentral:rRNA from 1 species